AGGAGGUGCCUAUUGAUGGACCAGUUCCUUUAUCCAAGAUGGUCGAAUUGUUGGUUGAAGCAUGGGAAGAAGACUAAAUCGAGAAAAAUGAAUUGUUGAUGUAGGAGUUUCAAAAUUGGAGGUAUUGCUUGUGUUGUGUUUUCAAGAUUGCGAUUAAAUUUGGGGAAUGCUUCUUUCACUUUACUGGCUUCGUAGAUGCUACUGUAUUACUUGAAUUAUAAAUUUAUAGUACUAGUAAUAUACAAAUAAUGAAAUUUCCAUGUACUAACAAUUUUUGUGUUCUAUUUUUAUAUUUUAAUUAUCAAUUUGAAAUGGUGGUCAAAGACAA